GACGAACGCUGGCGGCGUGCCUAAUACAUGCAAGUAGAACGCUGAAGAGAGGAGCUUGCUCUUCUUGGAUGAGUUGCGAACGGGUGAGUAACGCGUAGGUAACCUGCCUUGUAGCGGGGGAUAACUAUUGGAAACGAUAGCUAAUACCGCAUAACAAUAGGUGACACAUGUCAUUUAUUUGAAAGGGGCAAUUGCUCCACUACAAGAUGGACCUGCGUUGUAUUAGCUAGUAGGUGAGGUAACGGCUCACCUAGGCGACGAUACAUAGCCGACCUGAGAGGGUGAUCGGCCACACUGGGACUGAGACACGGCCCAGACUCCUACGGGAGGCAGCAGUAGGGAAUCUUCGGCAAUGGGGGCAACCCUGACCGAGCAACGCCGCGUGAGUGAAGAAGGUUUUCGGAUCGUAGAGCUCUGUUGUAAGUCAAGAACGAGUGUGAGAGUGGAAAGUUCACACUGUGACGGUAGCUUACCAGAAAGGGACGGCUAACUACGUGCCAGCAGCCGCGGUAAUACGUAGGUCCCGAGCGUUGUCCGGAUUUAUUGGGCGUAAAGCGAGCGCAAGCGGUUUGAUAGUCUGAAGUUAAGGCUGUGGCUCAACCAUAGUUCGCUUUGGAAACUGUCAAACUUGAGUGCAGAAGGGGAGAGUGGAAUUCCAUGUGUAGCGGUGAAAUGCGUAGAUAUAUGGAGGAACACCGGUGGCGAAAGCGGCUCUCUGGUCUGUAACUGACGCUGAGGCUCGAAAGCGUGGGGAGCGAACAGGAUUAGAUACCCUGGUAGUCCACGCCGUAAACGAUGAGUGCCAGGUGUUGGAUCCUUUCCGGGAUUCAGUGCCGCAGCUAACGCAUUAAGCACUCCGCCUGGGGAGUACGACCGCAAGGUUGAAACUCAAAGGAAUUGACGGGGGCCCGCACAAGCGGUGGAGCAUGUGGUUUAAUUCGAAGCAACGCGAAGAACCUUACCAGGUCUUGACAUCCCGAUGCUAUUUCUAGAGAUAGAAAGUUACUUCGGUACAUCGGUGACAGGUGGUGCAUGGUUGUCGUCAGCUCGUGUCGUGAGAUGUUGGGUUAAGUCCCGCAACGAGCGCAACCCCUAUUGUUAGUUGCCAUCAUUCAGUUGGGCACUCUAGCGAGACUGCCGGUAAUAAACCGGAGGAAGGUGGGGAUGACGUCAAAUCAUCAUGCCCCUUAUGACCUGGGCUACACACGUGCUACAAUGGUUGGUACAACGAGUUGCGAGUCGGUGACGGCAAGCUAAUCUCUUAAAGCCAAUCUCAGUUCGGAUUGUAGGCUGCAACUCGCCUACAUGAAGUCGGAAUCGCUAGUAAUCGCGGAUCAGCACGCCGCGGUGAAUACGUUCCCGGGCCU
rnacentral:rRNA from 1 species